rnacentral:misc_RNA from 1 species
UUUGAAAAAAGAUGGAAUCGAAAAAAUAUAGUUAUCGACAACAUAUUUGCAUAUAAUAUAGCGCUUAAUAUGUGAAAGAUGAUGAGGAUCAAGAAACUAAGUCUGUAGAAGAAUGCAGACAUGGAAAUGAUUGACCAAAAAUGAAUAACGCAAUCAAGGAAAAAUUAAAUUUACUGGAAACACGUAAAAUUUUUACACUAGAAGAUGUCACACCUGUGGGAUACAAAUGGGCAUUUAUGAGGAAUGAAG